CAUGUGGAGAUCCAGCUCCUUUAACCUCCACACCACCUGCUGGCCCCUCAUUAUUGAAUCUUAAUGGGUAAAAGAUUAUUGGGGAAGUUAACCACACUGACAGCACCUACCUAUAAUAAAUGUCUGAAUUUUUUUUUUCUCCAUUGACUCAACUGACCAGUUGCAUUAUUCAGUUGUACCAUUCUUCAGAAGAUGUGUGACAGAAUAUUUAGACAUGCUAAAAUUGAGAUAAAACCACAAAGGUUCUCCAAACUCAGCUUUUUGGUAAUAGAAAUACAUUCAGAAAUCUACCAUCUGGCUCCCAAAGGAUCUUUUCUAGUGAAGAAGAUAAAAAUUGGAAAUGUGAUAAAGAUUCCUUAUAAUUAAAGCCAUAAAGUAGUGCAAGGAAGAGACUUUAUUAAAAGAAUGUAGAAUAUUAUGAACUAUGACAGGCCUAACAAGUUAAUUAAAAGACACUUCUGGGGACAGAAAAAGAGAUGGAAAAACAUUAGUUGCAACCUGAAGGGUUCAGCACUUUACAAGCACAUCCAUACCCCGGAACAUGGAGCUGGAGCCCUUUCUCAGAGACUACAGAAUUUAAAAUGGCACUAUAAAGAAGUAAUUCAUGGGCAAGAAUAUCCAGGAACAGUUUUAAAUGAAGUAAUGGGAGGUGUGGGACUUGCAUAAUUGGAUAUUGGGUGCAUUAUUAUUAUUUUUUAAUUUCCAGAUAGUGCCUGCACUUGCCAAAUGGGGCACUAUUAUACCACAAUCAUUUGUCCUCUGUUUUCCAUCCAUCAGGAUUUGGGGCAUGGACAUAAGGGCACCUAAAGUGUUUUUCAAGUUGCAAGAGCUGAAUUUACACUUCGGUCAACUAUGUGGGAACUGGUUCCCUAUGCAUAAUUAACUCCCCGCACUAGUGGGCCAGCCCUGGAUAUACUAAGUUUCAGAUAAAUCAGUGUGGAAUGCAUGCAAGUACAUAGAGAUGCCUGUUGGUAUCUGAGUGGGAUUUGUUUCAGCCUCCCUUCCCCCCAGCCUGAGAAUAUAAAAUGGCAUAGUAAUUUCAUAUAAUGUACACAUAUCUUUUUGUACACUUUUAAUCAACUAGAUUACUUAUAAUACCUAAUACAAUGUAACUAGUUGUUACACAGCAUUGUUGAGGGGAUAAUGACAAAACUACAUGUUCACUACAGACAUAGCCAUAGAACACAUCAGCAACAAAGUAACAUUUUAGACCCAUGUUGGUUAAAUCCUCCCAUUUGGAAUGAUUUAGAUUGGGCAAGGCUGGGAGGAUGCUAGUUAAUGAAAAGGAGCAUAGAAACAGAUUUUAUUAUAAAAGGUAUUAGAGUAAGGCUUGAUAUCACAUUACUAAGGAAAAGGUAGAACUAUAAAUAGUUCUGGGACAGUUGCUUAAUUAUAGGGGUGGGAGCAGUAUUUUUCCCAUUCUUUACAUGCUUAAAGAAGUAUAGAGUGAUUAGUGAGGUUUGAAGAUACGUAAAGUAAGAAGUAGAAAAUGUAAGUGAAGGGACCAGCAGUUGGCGUAAUGACUGUCGCUAGACUCCUGUGUAGUCGAUGACGGUUCAA